rnacentral:RNase_P_RNA from 1 species
CUUAGCUUUAUUGAUUAAAGCUUAAGAGGAAAGUCCGAGCUCCAAUAAGAACAUAAUGCUAGGUAAUGCCUAGGGGUUUUAAACCUAAGAAAGUGUCGCAGAAAAUUACCGCCAUUAAAAGGUAAGGGUGAAAAGGUGAGGUAAGAGCUCACCGCUUAUUUAGCAAUAA